rnacentral:rRNA from 1 species
CUGGCGGACUGGUGAGUAGCCGUGGGAUCGUGCCUUUAAGUUCGGAAUAUCUCCUGGAAACGGGUGGUAAUGCCGAAUGUGCCCUUCCGGGGAAAGAUUUGUCGCCUUUAGGGCAGCCCGCGUCUGAUUACCUACUUGGUGAGGUAACGGCUCACCACUGCGACGAUCAGUAACUGGUCUGAGAGGAUGACCACCCACACUGGGACUGAAACACGGCCCAUACUCCUACAGGAGGCACCAGUGGGGAAUCUUGCGCAAUGGGCGAAAGCCUGACUCAUCCAUGCCGCGUGAAUGAUGAAUGUCUUAAGAUUGCAAGAUUCUUUCACCGCGGACGAUUGUGACGGUACCCGGAUAAGAAGCCCCGGCUAACUUCUUGCCAUCAGCCGCUGUAAUACUAAGGGGGCUAGCGUUGCUCGGAAUUACUGGGCGUAAAGGGCGCGUAAGCGGAUCGUUGCGUCAGAGGUGAAAUCCCACGGCUCAACCCUGGAACUGCCUUUGAUACUGGCGAUCUUGAUUAUGACACAGGUAUGUGCAACUCCACUUGUAUAGGUGAAAUUAAUAUAUAUUCUGAAAAACGCCGUUGGCAAAAUGCUACGUACUGGGCUCAAUACCGACGC